rnacentral:tRNA from 2 species
GCCCAUAUAGCUUAGUCGGUAGAGCACUUCCUUGGUAAGGAAGAGGUCACCGGUUCGAUUCCGGUUGUGGGCU